CUACGGGAUGCUGCAGUGGGGAAUAUCGGACAAUGGGGGAAACCCUGAUCCAGCAAUGCCGCGUGUGUGAAGAAGGCCUGCGGGUUGUAAAGCACUUUCGGUUGGGAGGACUGCUUCUAGCACUAAUAUUGUUGGAAGUUGACGUUACCUUCAGAAGAAGCACCGGCUAACUCCGUGCCAGCAGCCGCGGAUACGGAGGGUGCAAGCGUUAAUCGGAAUUACUGGGCGUAAAGCGCGCGUAGGCGGCUAGAUCAGUCGGGUGUGAAAGCCCCGGGCUUAACCUGGGAACUGCAUCCGAUACUGUCUAGCUUGAGUACAGGAGAGGAGAGUGGAAUUCCACAUGUAGCGGUGAAAUGCGUAGAUAUGUGGAGGAACACCAAUGGCGAAGGCAGCUCUCUGGCCUGAUACUGACGCUGAGGUGCGAAAGCGUAGGGAGCAAACAGGAUUAGAUACCCGAGUAGUC
rnacentral:rRNA from 1 species